rnacentral:rRNA from 1 species
GACGAACGCUGGCGGCGUGCCUAAUACAUGCAAGUCGAACGCUGAAGCCCGGUGUUUGCGCGGUGCGCGUGAGGCGCGAACGGGUGAGUAACGCGUAGGUAACCUGCCUGGCAGUGGGGGAUAACCAUUGGAAACGAUAGCUAAUACCGCAUAAGAGCAGAUGUUGCAGGACAUUUGCGUAAAAGGCGCAAUUGCAUCACUACCAGGUGGACCUGCGUCGUAUUAGCUAGGUGGUGAGGUAACGGCUCACCUAGGCAACGAAACGUAGCCGACCUGAGCGGGUGGUCGGCCGACCUGGGACGGUGACAGGGCACAGAGUCCUUCGGGAGGCGGCAGGAGGGCAACUUCGGGGAGGGGAGGAAGACUGACCAAGCAACGCGGCGUGAGUGCAGAAGGAUGUCGCGUCGUAGAGGACGGCUGUAAGGUAGGAACGCGUGUGAGAGUGGGAAGAUCAGACUGUGACGGUAACUGGCCAGAAAGCGCCGGCUAACUACGUG